GCUGACGACUCUCUGCCGACAGUACACCUACGACAAAAAUCUCUGUACUCUCACUAACCGACCUUUUAAGACUCCGCGACGGCUCUCUAAAACCCUAAUCUCUCUCUCUCUCUCGCCUGCGUCUCUGCAAGAUUGCAUCCCUCUCUACCUCUCAAUUUUCCGAGAUUUUCUCGGGGAACAAGAUCCCGAUUCCUUCUUCCCCCUCUUCCCUCUUCGUCACCUAAUCCCUCGGUAUCCGUCACAAAGCUUGACGACGAGCCCAUCACUUCUACCACUGUCCCAAACCCUAGAGACACAGUGGGAGAAAAUGAAAUUCUCUCCGGUUCGAGGGGCUUUGGCUUGUUCUUUUGGUUUCCCGAAAUUGAAAACUUUUAUCAGCUAAUGUUUAAUUUGUACUGGCUGGGGUGAUCUAGCAGAUAAAAGUUAUUGGAUUUUGCUGUUUCUUAUAGCCGACAUCUGUGUUUGAUUGUAAAACAUUAUUUACAUUGAGAAUGGUAUGGAUUUUGUCAUUUAAUGACUUCUUAUGAUUUCUGGUAGGCUCUGGUUCUGCACCUUUUCUCUGUGAGUUGCUCCUCAAAAGUUUUAGGGGCUGUUAUUCAAUUACUGUAGGCUCUGGUUCUACUCCUUCACUUUGUGAGUUGCUCUUCACUAGUUUCAGGGGCUGGUAUUCAACUAUUGUGGUUUGGUAUAUGCUAGUAUUUGCUGUUGCGAGAUUUGAGACAGUUCAAGAUGCCCUCUUUGUUCUUGCCAAGAUGAAAGAUCUGAACAUGCAUGGACCAAUACAAACAUAUAAAAGUCUGUUGCACAACUUGAGGGCACUGAAACCAUGUGGGAUAUUCAUGAUGAAAUCAAAUUUGGUGGAACUACUCAGAAUGAGUUACUGCUUUCUCUUGAGAAUUGAAAGUCAAUUUGGAAAAAGUUGCCUAUACUAUAGUUAAAGCACAUAUGCAAAAGGUGGUGUGAGCGGGGAAGUAAUAUUCUUUCGUCAAAUGAUGGAGAAGGGGUUUAAAACCUCAAAUCAGAGAUUACAGUGAUGUGAUAAUAAGAUUGUUAAUAAAUGAAGCAAAAUAUUUUGCCGUAUGAAGUCAUCCGAUGGCGACUUCAUACAGAAAUUUGUAAGGUGAUGCUUAAUGCUUUCCAUCAAUCAGGAAGGUGACCUAGAUUCUGUUUUUGAAUUACUUGGUAGGAUGAUCAAAUAUAAAAUUAACCCGUGGGAAACGAUGAUUUUCAUGCAUCUCAACGUCAAAAGGAGCUUUCUUGGCUGAUGGGGAAGUCAGUAUCUAAUGAAUACUUCGAUGGUUUAACUUGUGGAUACGGCUGUCAUUACUACAAUGACCAAAGGCAGAACGGUAGAGAGGUAUUUUACAUUAACUUCAUUACAUACCAGAUUUGUAGGGCUAUCUACUGUUGCAAUCAGUAUCAUACAUGUUUAGAAGGCAAUUGCAUUUUUUUUUAUUAGCACCGUGUGUCUGAGAACAAAAUCUCGACUAAUCUUAGGGGUCCACAGGCCUUCGAUGAUGAAUUUUUCGCAAGUGCAUCUCGGAUAAUUUAAUGGGAAGUUCUCCUACUCCGAUGGCCUCAAGAAACUCUCAGCACUCAAUAGGAUUCAAACCUUAGACCUAGAGGUAGUAUACAAUCAGACCAAGGCUUUUAGCAAUUUGCAAAUGGAAAAACUUGCAACAGUGCAUGUUAACAGAAUUUAUUGAUCACUUAUUUCAUCUCUGAUUCUUACAAGAGUGAGCCUUGUAUACACUUUUUUUUCUUCUUUCUUUCUUUCUUUUUUGUUUUUUUUUGUUUUUAAAUUUUUUAUUACGACAAAUGAUUCUACAUGCAGCUGUAAUUGUUGGGCACUGGCCUCUGUCCAUUCUCACUGGGAUCUCUUUUCUCUGAGAGUUUGAAAGGAAGAACAUCGCAGCCGGAAUAUAUCACCUGCCUCAUGGCAUUCCUUCUGAAGCCAGACUUGAUACAGUUAGACAUGUAUGUUUUCCUCUGUAGCUCAUAAGUUGCUUAUUAAUCAAUUUCUUCUUUUUAGGAAGCAUCUAUUGGAGUUUCUAGUUUCUGUCCCCAAGGUUCCAUUGCUGUGUCCUCAAUGACUUUCUUUCUUUGGAUCUAUGGAUUUUAGGCUGAAGCCUUUGUUGGUUUCUUUUCAGUUAUUUAUUUUACGUUUGCAGGUCUGGCACACCUUUCGAUGGACUAACUUAGAACUAGGAAUGUUGAAGCUUCGAUGUUCAAUAUAUGUGAGUUAUAGAUGCACAAUGUAUUCAAUUCUUUUUUUUUUCAAGACAAACGAAAGAUUUCAUCGUUUUGCCAGAAAAAGUUUGGAACAAAUUUCUCUCUUCAGGUAAAUGACAAGCAGCCAGCAUGUCAUGAUGCCUUUCUUAGCUGGGUUUCCGAUGCCUUAUCUGAGAGGGUGUUUC